GUCACAUCACACUGAAAACACCAGUUCUCCUUUGACCACCAAAGUUAAACUGUGUCAAGCCUUGUCAGUACUUAUAUUGGAGACUGCUUGGGAAUACCAGGUACUGUAAG